rnacentral:rRNA from 1 species
AUUGAACGCUGGCGGCAUGCCUUACACAUGCAAGUCGAACGGUAACGGGCCUUCGGGUGCCGACGAGUGGCGAACGGGUGAGUAAUGUAUCGGAACGUACCUUUCAGUGGGGGAUAACGUAGCGAAAGUUACGCUAAUACCGCAUAUUCUGUGAGCAGGAAAGCAGGGGAUCGCAAGACCUUGCGCUGAUUGAGCGGCCGAUAUCAGAUUAGCUAGUUGGUGAGGUAAAGGCUCACCAAGGCGACGAUCUGUAGCGGGUCUGAGAGGAUGAUCCGCCACACUGGAACUGAGACACGGUCCAGACUCCUACGGGAGGCAGCAGUGGGGAAUUUUGGACAAUGGGGGCAACCCUGAUCCAGCCAUGCCGCGUGAGUGAAGAAGGCCUUCGGGUUGUAAAGCUCUUUCGGCUGGGAAGAAAUCGCAUCUCCUAAUACGGGGUGUGGAUGACGGUACCAGCAUAAGAAGCACCGGCUAACUGCGUGCCAGCCGCCGCCGUAACAC